GAUGAACGCUGGCGGCGUGCCUAAUACAUGCCAGUCGAGCGAACAGACGAGGAGCUUGCUCCUCUGACGUUAGCGGCGGACGGGUGAGUAACACGUGGAUAACCUACCUAUAAGACUGGGAUAACUUCGGGAAACCGGAGCUAAUACCGGAUAAUAUAUUGAACCGCAUGGUUCAAUAGUGAAAGACGGUUUUGCUGUCACUUAUAGAUGGAUCCGCGCCGCGUUAGCUAGUUGGUAAGGUAACGGCUUACCAAGGCAACGAUGCGUAGCCGACCUGAGAGGGGGGUCGGCCACACUGGAACUGGGACACGGUCCAGACUCCUACGGGAGGCAGCAGUAGGGAAUCUUCCGCAAUGGGCGAAAGCCUGACGGAGCAACGCCGCGUGAGUGAUUAAGGUCUUCGGAUCGUAAAACUCUGUUAUUAGGGAAGAACAAAUGUGUAAGUAACUAUGCACGUCUUGACGGUACCUAAUCAGAAAGCCACGGCUAACUACGUG
rnacentral:rRNA from 1 species